CAGAGCAUGAGGACACAACUUGAUGUGGAAUAACUCAUCAGUUAGGUUGUCAUCCCUGCACAGGACCUUGGUUUUAAAGGUGGUGCUUAAAUAUAAAUGCUGCUGAGAACAAGAGCAUCAGACAGAGAGAUGUCUUUGGGCCCAUUUGCUCUGCACCUGUAUGCAUUAGGAGGCUGAACUGCAAUCUUGUCUGACUGGAGAAAAAGUGCUAUUUCAUUCCUGAGACAGAACAUUCAACCAAAUAUUGUGGAGAAAAGUGGCAGUGUAAACCCCAGUGUGUCAUUCUCUAAAACAGCACCAAAGAGAAGGAAUACACUUGAAGACAAAAUUACAUCGUCCAAGCACACCCAGGAGGAGACAAGAAAUAAUUUAGGCCCAAACAGCCCUGGGUAGGUGAAUCAGAUUUGAGUUUUCAAGACUCAAGGACAGCAGAUCAUCCAGUCCUUGACUGAA
rnacentral:lncRNA from 1 species